GAUGAGCGCUGGCGGCGUGCCUAAUACAUGCAAGUCGAGCGAACAGAUAAGGAGCUUGCUCCUUUGACGUUAGCGGCGGACGGGUGAGUAACACGUGGAUAACCUACCUAUAAGACUGGGAUAACUUCGGGAAACCGGAGCUAAUACCGGAUAACAUAUUGAACCGCAUGGUUCAAUAGUGAAAGGCGGCUUUGCUGUCACUUAUAGAUGGAUCCGCGCCGUAUUAGCUAGUUGGUAAGGUAACGGCUUACCAAGGAAACGAUACGUAGCCGAACGGAGAGGGUGAUCGGCCACACUGGAACUGAGACACGGUCCAGACUCCUACGGGAGGCAGCAGUAGGGAAUCUUCCGCAAUGGGCGAAAGCCUGACGGAGCAACGCCGCGUGAGUGAUGAAGGUCUUCGGAUCGUAAAACUCUGUUAUCAGGGAAGAACAAAUGUGUAAGUAACUGUGCACAUCUUGACGGUACCUGAUCAGAAAGCCACGGCUAACUACGUGCCAGCAGCCGCGGUAA
rnacentral:rRNA from 1 species